AAGGCCUAGAAAUAGCGAUUGUUCGUUGCUGUUUAUUCUUGUUGGAUGAAAAAUACUUCAAAAGUUGUGAGUAUAUUGUGUAAUGUAUGUACAAGCAUGCCUUAUAAAGACCAUGUGUCCGUCCGGUGGUUUUGGCAAUUUGUCACUCAUUGACUGCCAUUUAGGAUUUACAUCUGAAUGACCUUGCUGGACUUCGACCAUUAUAAUCUUUCAUUCCUGUAGUAAGGUAGGAAGACUGUUUCUAUGUUAGUUUCACAGCACACUGGUUCUCAGUUUGGGUUUCCUGGUAACUGUCUUAUGGAAAUCCUAUGAAGGUAAGAUGGUUGUUUCAGUGAAAUGUUCGUUUAAUAAUGCAAUGUUGUUCGUUUGAUUUUUUAGGCAGUUGGGGGUCAUAUGCAGAUUUUGUACAGUGAUUUUGUGUUCCUUCAUGGUCAUUUUGUCUUGUGUUUAGGUGUUGGUGCUGUCUUGUCUUCAAUAGUGCUGUUGGAGGGUAAUUUGAUUUCUUACUUUUUGGCAUGUUUGGUGAUGAACAUCAUUUACUACCCUUGACUGUAAGGGUAACUAAACUACUAUUGGUGCCUAGAGCAAAGCCUUGUUGGUUCUUCAGGGCUAACUAAGGUGAUUUUUAAUCAACUUAUUUUCUGACAGGGGGCUGGAAUUUUAGAUUAGGACUCGCCUCUUCUGAUAGAGGUGAUUAUUAAUUCUGCUAGCUGUCUUUGCCUGGUGUAAAGAUGAUGUUUUUUCGUGCGUGUCAUCUGAAUUCUUGAUGGAUACCACCUUAUCUAGCUGAUUUCCUCUUAUUUAGGAAAAUCAUUGCAUUGUGUUCGGGUGGUCUAUUUAUAAUGUUUUUUUGCUUUCAGUGACGCUGGCCAUCGUUCUUUUUUUCGUGGUUUGGCAGUUGUGUCGUUAAACCUACUUUGAACUAAAGGCCGCUUGCAUCUUUUCCAUGUGAUUGGUGGGUUUGAGCGUUUCGUGGGUGCAACGGUAACGGAUGCUUAGAACAGGUAUAGGUUUACCUUUAAGCUUAUUUCGAAACAAUUAUUGCAACAUUUUAAUGGGAACAUACAAUGCGACUUCUACAGUCGUUAGUUAUUAUUGACCAUUGAAGUUGACUGAGAAAAUUUACCGCUGAGGUCUCAAUUUACGGAUGGGGGUGAUGGUUAACACCCUAUAUGGUAACUAGUUCGCCCUGUGGCUUUUUGUGAAGCUCUUGGUCAUUUCCAAGCCGCCCCGAUUCUCCUCGGCAUAAGAGGGUUUUUAUAGGGGUUUGUUUUGAUUGCUUGUUGUAUUUAUAUUGGUGUACUUGGUAUGUCAGGUAUGGAUUUAAGUAAUAUUUUGUUGCGUUUUUGUCAAACGAAUUAUUUUUAAUGUUGUUGGGCGUUCGCAGAUUUUGUGGGUGUUCAAUUGGACGAGUCCGGGGUUUCUGGUACUGUUACAUAGUGGGAGGUCGGUCACUGUCUACUGUGCUAGAAAAGCUGAGGCACAGGUAUUGUGAAAGGAACAUAGCUGACAAUUUCACAUGGACUAAUUUUUGGGCUAGUUUUAGUUGGGGGAUACGUUGCCAUGUCAAAUGUAAUCGACUUUCAUUCGAGCGCCUCACAUCAUUAAUGGAUACAAUGCUCAAACGUCGGAUAGCAAAAAUGUUGCUCAAUAGGAGGCAGUCUUCUUGCAAUUGGCUGACGAGCAUUGCACCGUAAAGUUCAAUCGUUUAUUUUUACCUUUCAUGAUGUUUGAAUUAGAAUUCAAACUAUAAUUUUUUGUCUUGGGAAAAUGGUGUCGGGGCUAGAUUUCGUCUCGGAUGUCCUUCUCCUUACCGUGGCAUUUGGUAACCUAAAUGAUUAUUUGUGAUCAAAAUUUAUUAUAAACUAACAGCAUUGUGCGGAAUCAGGAACAUAUGACAAGAGAGACCCUCACCAGAAUGGAAGUGUCGAGCUAACACUCAGAGUGGGUUAAAUAUGCACUGACCUGCUGAGCUGUGAUUUUUUUCCGGUUUUUGUCUUUUCCAAAAUUUAUGCUCGCGUCAUUGCUAAAGUUGCCCAUUAUUACGUACGCCAAUAGAAAUAAGGAAAUCUUCGUUUUGUAUAUAUGUCUCAAACAAUGCUU